UACGGAGGGGGCUAGCGUUGUUCGGAAUUACUGGGCGUAAAGCGCACGUAGGCGGCUUUGCAAGUCAGAGGUGAAAGCCCGGGGCUCAACCCCGGAAUUGCCUUUGAGACUGCAUCGCUAGAAUUGUGGAGAGGAAGUGGAAUUCCGAGUGUAGAGGUGAAAUUCGUAGAUAUUCGGAAGAACACCAGUGGCGAAGGCGACUUACUGGACACAUAUUGACGCUGAGGUGCGAAAGCGUGGGGAGCAAACAGG
rnacentral:rRNA from 1 species